rnacentral:rRNA from 1 species
AUUACCGCGGCUGCUGGCACGUAGUUAGCCGGGGAUUCUUAGUCAGGUACCGUCAUUUUCUUCCCUGCUGAUAGAGCUUUACAUACCGAAGUACUUCUUCACUCACGCGGCGUCGCUGCAUCAGGGUUUCCCCCAUUGUGCAAUAUUCCCCACUGCUGCCUCCCGUAGG